AGAGACAGCAGUAGCCACGGUAAUACGUAGGGUGCAAGCGUUAAUCGGAAUUAUUGGGCGUAAAGCGCGCGCAGGCGGAUAGGUCAGUCUGUCUUAAAAGUUCGGGGCUUAACCCCGUGAUGGGAUGGAAACUGCCAAUCUAGAGUAUCGGAGAGGAAAGUGGAAUUCCUAGUGUAGCGGUGAAAUGCGUAGAUAUUAGGAAGAACACCAGUGGCGAAGGCGACUUUCUGGACGAAGACUGACGCUGGGGCGCGAAAGCCAGGGGAGCGAACGGGAUUAGAGACCCGUGUAGUCCCUGUCUCUUAUACA
rnacentral:rRNA from 1 species